rnacentral:rRNA from 1 species
GACGAACGCUGGCGGCGUGCUUAACACAUGCAAGUCGAACGGAAAGGCCCUGCUUUUGUGGGGUGCUCGAGUGGCGAACGGGUGAGUAACACGUGAGUAACCUGCCCUUGACUUUGGGAUAACUUCAGGAAACUGGGGCUCAUACCGGAUAGGAGCUCCUGCUGCAUGGUGGGGGUUGGAAAGUUUCGGCGGUUGGGGAUGGACUCGCGGCUUAUCAGCUUGUUGGUGGGGUAGUGGCUUACCAAGGCUUUGACGGGUAGCCGGCCUGGGAGGGUGACCGGCCACAUUGGGACUGAGGGACGGCCCAGACGCCUACGGGAGGCAGCAGUGGGGAAUAGUGCACAAUGGGCGGAAGCCUGAUGCAGCGACGCCGCGUGCGGGAUGACGGCCUUCGGGUUGUAAACCGCGUUCGCCUGUGACGAAGCGUGAGUGACGGUAAUGGGUAAAGAAGCACCGGCUAACUACGUG